ensembl:ncRNA DY3.9 ncRNA
AAUGUUUCAUGCCACCGUUUGUAUACCUGCGUCUCAUGAUCUCUAGUAGGCACUCAAUUAUAAUUAUCGCGGCGGUGUGGGAAGGCUUCGAUAGGAAUAGGAUUAAUGUGUGAAGAGUUCAGAAAAAAAAAAGCAGUACCACGCUAUGAAUUAUAUAAAA